rnacentral:lncRNA from 1 species
UAAAUGAAUCGUCGAUAAAAAGUUGCUAGGCCAUGAAAGCUCCUAGCAUCAUAUAUAUUUUUUAGUUCUGGCCAUUCUUUAGCUUCGUUUGGUUCGAAUAUAACCAAGAACUAUUUAUUCCAGGAAUGGAUGAAAAUUGAGUUGUUCCUGAGAAUAAGAAAAAUAGUGUUUGGAUAGAUAAGAUGGAAUAAAAAGAAUAGUGGGUAAUUAUAAAUAGAAAAUAAUGAUAUUGCCCCUUAUAUUAUAUUUGAAUUUAAAAUUUUAAAUAUUAUAUCUAAAUUUUUAAACUUAACUAUAUAAUUUUUUAAUUUUAAAAAUUCAAAAUUUAAAUUUAAAUUUUUAAAUCUCAAAUUAACAAAUUCAAAAUUUUAAAUUUUAAAUUUUAAAUUUCAAAUUUUAAAUUUAAGAUUAAAUCUAAAUUUAAAAAAAUCAAAUAUCAAAUUAUAAAUUCAAAAAAUUUAAAAUAUCAAUUUAAAAUUUAAAAUUUAAAAUUUAAAAUUUAAAAAUAAAAUUAUAAAUUUUAAUUUUAAAAUCAUAAAUUAUAAAUUUUAAAAUUUUAAAAUUAAAAUUUAAUUUUAAAAAUUAAAUAGGGGUGGGAACAACUGUU